UACGAUUCUAUGCAAUGCAACAUAUUUAAAUUUUUUAAUCAAAUUUUAAAAAAAUUAAAUUUUGAUCGAUUUUUAAUAAUAUAAUAAAUAACAUUAAAAUAUUAACAAAUAUUUUAAAUUAAUGAAUACAUUAGCAAAAGGGAGGUGCGGUGUGGGUGGGGGAGAGGGCGUCGGACGGGCAGAAGGAGAGAGAAGAGAGGGCC
rnacentral:lncRNA from 1 species